UACAGAUUUUAGUUGGAUACCCUGUCGUAUCUGGUCUAACAGUGCAUCUCGUCCAGAGCAGGACACUGGCCGACUGUUCUGCUCCACUUUUUUUAGCUGAGCACCCUCUCUAAUUUGAUCUAAAAGAGCUGCUUUGUUUCCUGCAGUAGUUGGAACCUGAUGGUCCCCAUCAGAAGGCAGGCCAGGCGGGGGCGGUGGCCCAGGAGGAGGUGGAGGUGGAGGCGGUGGGGGUGGUGCCACUGGCCCUACCCCCAACACAGAUGGAGGUGGUGGUGGAGGCCCUGAAGGUGCUGAGGAGGGAAGGGCUGGAGGUGGAGGAGGGUACAUCCUAUUUGGCGGUGGUGGAGGGACUGCUACACUUGGCCUGGAAGGAGGAGGAGGUGGCCCUCCCCUUGAUGGUGG
rnacentral:lncRNA from 1 species